UCUGGACAAGGACCACUUUUCUAUUACGGAGCUGGAAUUUUAUACUAAAGAAAUAGGGUAUGCAACUGUCGAGGGCUUUUAUUAUCAGAAUAGUGAGACCAAACAAUUUCACUUGGUGGAGUCGGACCUACACCUAUUAGACUUAAUAAAAGACUUAAAGUAUGGAGAUAACUUUGAAAUAUGGGUUAAACAUGUUAUUGACAAUGCUUUACCUGUAGAUGGGGAGGGACCUACUGGCUACCUAACUGGAGAGAAUGAAAAUUUGUUAUUAAAUAACAGAGAUGGUGAGUCAUUUAACCUACAAGAAGUUGUUGUAGAAGAGGCAGUUGAAAGUUUGGGAGGUAAUUGCACUGGUGUGUUAGAUGUAGAAAGUCAUCUUUCAGAGGUGGAGAGUAGUGAUUCAGAUCUGGAAGAUAUACCUGAAGAGGAUGACUCAGAUGUAGAUGAGGAGUUGAGAACUCUUAGACAAGACAAAAGAAAUAAAAAAUAGAAGAAAAAAGCUCAUGUUACAGAAGAGAUUCCUGUUGGAGAGGCUGGUGGUAUAGAUAGAGGGUUUGAGGAUAUUGGGGUAGACAAGGCUAACAAAUAUGCUGGAAAAUUGUGGGGAGAUGAAGAGUAUAUCAGUAGCUCUGAAUGUUGGAGUGAUGAUAGCAGGGAGGAGCUAGAUGCUGUUAGAGGAGUAGAUCUCUACCCUCUAGGAGGAGAAGUAAAAAAGUAAGAUAUGAUGAAGCUUGUGAGGUGGCUGUAUUUGAGCUUGGUAUGGUAUUUGAGAAUGUAACACAGUUUAGAAAGACUGUGGCAGAUUAUGUUGUUGAGUAUAGGAGGCAAAUUAAACUAAGACCUAAUGAGCCUCAUAGGGUAAGGGUUAAGUGUAAAACAAGUACAUGUAAAUGACUGUUGGCUGCUUCUUUGGAUAGAGACUCUGGUGAUUUUAGAGUCAUUAAAUAUCAUCAUGUACAUAAAUGUUUACCUACUAACAAAAAUAAGCUUUGCACUUCUAACCUUAUUACCAGAAAGUUCAAGGAUAGGAUAGUUUCCCAGCCAUAUAUAUAAGGCUUUGGAAAAUUCAAGAGCUGGUUAGAGACAAGUUGGGUCUUUAUGUUGGUAGGACUGUGUGUCAAAGAGCAAAACAUAAAGUUCUGAAGGAAAAUAUGGGUGAUUGGAAGCUGGAAUUCUCAAGGUUAUGUGAUUAUGCAAACAUCAUCAAGCAAACUAAUCCAGGAAGCUCAUGCUGGGUUAAAAUUGAUAGAGAGACUGAUCCUGGGAAGAAUUUGUUUGUAUAUUUCUAUGUAUGCUUUGAAGCCUUCAAGAAAGGAUGGUUAGAUGGGUGUAGGAAAAUCAUAGGAUUUGAUGGUUGUUUUCUUAAGGGAGCUUGUGGAGGUCAACUUCUUGCUGUUGUUGGAAGGAAUGGAAACAAUCAAAUGUUUCCUAUUGCUUGGGCAGUAGUGGAUCAAGAAACAAAACAUAGCUGGAGUUGGUUCUUAGGAUAUUUGAUUGAUAACUUAAAUUUGGGUACUGGUGAAGGUUUGACUGUAAUGUCAGAUAUGCAAAAGGGAAUUGUUCCUGCCAUAAUGGAGUUAUUGCCAAAUGUAGAGCAAAGAAUGUUUGCUAGGCAUAUCUGAAGUAACUGGCAUAUCAAAUGGAGAGGAGAAGCUAGAAGAAAGCAGUUCUUCUAGCUUUGAAGCAUUGAGUAAAUUAGGUAAGAAGGAAAUAUGUGAGGAUUUGUUACAUUAUCCAAAGGAAACAUGGUGUAGGGCAUAUUUUAAAGUUCAUGCCAAAUGUGAUAUUGUUGAGAACAACAUGAGUGAGACUUUCAAUUCUUGGAUUUUAGCUGCUAGGCAUAAGUCUAUUAUCACCAUGUUAGAGGAAAUUAGGCAUAAACUAAUGAACAGACAUGUGGAUAUGAUCAAUUUUGCUAAAGGAUUACAGAUAUUUCUCCUAUGGCAAGAACAAUACUAGAGGAAAAUAAAGAAUACUCUAAGAAGUGUAAAGUUAUGUGGAAUGCACAAGUUGGUUUUGAAAUUCUAGACAAUGGAUAUAGGUUUAGAGUUCAUUUGGGAAACAAGACUUUAAUUGUAGGCUAUGGCAGCUAAGAGGUAUUCGUUGCCCCCAUGCAGUUUAUGCUUAUUAUAAAUUAAACUUAGAUCCUGAUGAGCAUGUAGAGCAUUAGUAUAGGAAUGAUACAUUUUUGAAGGCCUACAGUUACUACUUUCAACCUAUUCCCAAUCUAAAGAUGUGGCCUGAAAGCUCAAAUCCAUCAAUAGAGCCUCUUCUGCCAAAGCCAAUGCCAGGGAGGCCUAAAAAGUGUAGAAGAAAGGCUAAGGAUGAACGAAAAAAGAAGUAUGGAAAGCUAUCAAAGAAGGGUGUCAAAAUGACUUGUUCAAAAUGCAAAUAGACUGGCCACAACAGAAAAGUGUGUCAAACAGGAUCUGGAGUGGGGGAUUCUUCACAGCCCAGAGAAUCAAAUGCCCAACCUAGUCAACCAAGCCAACCAACCUCUGUUUGUGGAGACACUGUAGCUGUUAGAAGAGUUAACCAAAGUAGGGGAGGUGCUGGGAAAGGUAGAAGAGGUGGUGAAAGUGCUGCUCUGCAACUGGAGGAAACAAAAGGCCUAGAACUAUUGGGUUUGGUGUAUACUCUGACCCUCAAACUGGAAAUCAAGUGUUUAAUCCUGGUACCUCAAGUGAGAGUUCUACAAGGAUUCUCAACUAUGAAGAGUGCCUCACCAACCAAUAUUGAUAUUGGUUUUGUUCCACGGGGCCGGAAAUGGAAGGGAAAAGAUGCAAUCACCACCUCAGAAUUGCAACAAAUGAAGGCCAACAAAAGGAAUAAAGUGAAUACUUCAUCAUCAACAACCAAGAAGUAGUUCUAAAAGUGGAUUGUUUUAGUUUUUUGUCUAUGUAAUAUUGAACAAUAUUGAUGUCUAGGGAUGAUGUUAAUUUAGGUCUUUAUGCCGUUGUAUUAAUGCUGGCAAACUUAUGGAGCACUUGUGAUUUUGGUACCAUUUUGUUGGAGUUGCAGCGUUACAUUUGAGCUCAAUUGAGAGCAGUUUAAUAGUAAUCCUUGUUGGUGUA